UCCCGUGUUGCUGAUGGACCUGUGAGCGGGGCCCCCUGAGCAUCAGGUGCUGUGUGCUUGUGUCCCUCUGGCUCUUGCUGCCCCUGUUUCUGCCGUGGUCAUUCACUGAUUCAGGCAGCAUUUGUGAGCAUCUACCAGGCUGUGCUGGGCACGGGGGCUGAGUGGUUCUCCUCCCCGCAGCUGACAGCUGGCAGGCUGGACGAGCACUGACCAUGGAGCUGCCAGACUCCUUGAAGAAUGUGCAUGACUGUGUGGGCCUGCAUGUGUGAAUACAGGGUCCCAGGAAUAGAGGGAGCCCGCCCACUUGGCCCCGUCCAUGCAGUGCCUGUUCCCACACUCCCCCUGCUCCCUGACAAGGAUGGCACCACUCCAGACCCACCGGGAAACAAGGACAUGCCGUCGUGAACACAGACAGACCCCAGAGAGGAUCUGGCUUGGGGGACCGGCUGCCGACAGGCUGCCCCUCCUCCUCAGACCCUGGCUUUGGCUGAGAGCAGUGGGGGGACCAGGUGACGCCCUUCAGUCUGCCUCCCAGAAUCUUUAUUUAGGCAGGUAAUUAACGGUUCCUUUCCACAGACUUCCCCACUUAAGUGAUUUGUUUUAGGAAGGGUUUAGCCCAAAGUUGAGCACGUGGAAGGUUUCCAUGAAUAUAUAUUGCAGGAAUAAAUGAAUGAGUGACA